CUGACAUGCCUUUUGGCAGAGGUGCACCAAGAAGCGUGUGCUAGUUGCUUAAGCCAGUUCAAUCAAACAAAAAGUGAUAUUAUCAUUGGACAUGAUCUACAGAUCUGAAGGAGUGAGACCACUGGACUGACACUUGAGCCUUCGACCUCAUUAAAAGGAUGUGAUAAAAAGCAAGGAGCAUUUGAACUGUGUCGUGGUGGGAAAGUCUGGUCGCCAAUACUGGAUUCAUCUCAUGUCUCCGUCCAAAAAAGGAAAGGACCCCCUUAACCAUGUGCGCUAUUUUGUCCACAUCAGACAUCCUCUUCUGAUAGGAGCCAUCCUAACACCAUUUCAAGCCAAGUUGUACUAUACCUGAUAAAUUUGUUUGUGGACCUUUGAACAGGAGCUCUGAACUGCAGACACAUCGCCAUC